rnacentral:tRNA from 6 species
CCGGAAUAGCUCAGUUGGUAGAGCAGAGGACUGAAAAUCCUCGUGUCACCAG